AUCGCAUGAUUCUUAGAUGAAAGAUGGUUCUGCUAUCGCUUUUAGAUGGACCCGCGGCGUAUUAACUAGUUGGUGGGGUAACGGCCUACCAAGGUGAUGAUACGUAGCCGAACUGAGAGGUUGAUCGGCCACAUUGGGACUGAGACACGGCCCAAACUCCUACGGGAGGCAGCAGUAGGGAAUCUUCCACAAUGGACGCAAGUCUGAUGGAGCAACGCCGCGUGAGUGAAGAAGGUCUUCGGAUCGUAAAACUCUGUUGUUAGAGAAGAACACGAGUGAGAGUAACUGUUCAUUCGAUGACGGUAUCUAACCAGCAAGUCACGGCUAACUACGUGCCAGCAGCCGCGGUAAUACGUAGGUGGCAAGCGUUGUCCGGAUUUAUUGGGCGUAAAGGGAACGCAGGCGGUCUUUUAAGUCUGAUGUGAAAGCCUUCGGCUUAACCGGAGUAGUGCAUUGGAAACUGGAAGACUUGAGUGCAGAAGAGGAGAGUGGAACUCCAUGUGUAGCGGUGAAAUGCGUAGAUAUAUGGGAGAACACCAGUGGCGAAAGCGGCUCUCUGGUCUGUAACUGACGCUGAGGUUCGAAAGCGUGGGUAGCAAACAGGAUUAGAUACCCUGGUAGUCCACGCCGUA
rnacentral:rRNA from 1 species